AACGAACGCUGGCGGCAUGCCUAACACAUGCAAGUCGAACGAGACCUUCGGGUCUAGUGGCGCACGGGUGCGUAACACGGGGGGACCUGCCCUUAGGUUCGCAAUAACUCCCCGAGGGGGGUGCUAAUACAGGAUAAUGUCUUCGGACCAAGGAUUUAUCGCCUUUGGAUGGGCGCGGGUUGGAUUCGCUGGUUGGUAGUGUAAUAGCCUACCAUGGCGAGGAUGCUUGGCUGGUCUGAGAGCAUGCUCAGCCACGCUGGGACUGAGACACGGCCCAGAACGCUACGGGAGGGAGCGGUGGGGAAUAUUGGACGAGGGGGGAAAGCCUGGUCCAGCAAUGCCGGGUGAGUGGUGCAGGCCUUAGGGUUGUAAAGCCCUUUGACCCGGGAUGAUAAUGACAGUACCGGGAGAAUAAGCUCCGGCUAACUACGUG
rnacentral:rRNA from 1 species